rnacentral:lncRNA from 1 species
GGAGUCCGGAAGUACAAGAGUUUUGGCCGGAAAGUGGCCGGAAGGCGGCGGAUCGGGGCCGGAAAGUCGCUGCUCACGCGACACUUUCCAAGGCUGCCGGCAAGGAUUUUCCGACGGAGGAGGGUUGCUUCCGGGGUUUUCGGGGGUGAGGAACUCAUUUCCGAUGCCAGAUCUCCGAAAACAUGCCGGCAAGAGGGCGAGCGGCGAAGGCAGCCCCCCCUUGUUCUUGACAACGCCGACGGAAAGGAGGAAAGGGGAAGGGAGCUGCUGCAGAGCGGCGGGAAGGGAGGAAGGCGCUGGCGACGGCGGCGGCGAGCUGGGCGGCACGUAGGCGGUGCGGGGAAGAAGACAGUCGAUGGGGAGAGGGAGAAGGAAGGGAGGAAGGAAAAGGAGGAGGGGGAGGGGAAAAA